UCAGGCUUUGAUUGUCCAAACGCAAUUCUUGUUAUUUUAUUCAAUCAAGGACUGUGUGUGGACAUCAAUGCUUGU
rfam:Pediculus humanus corporis strain TSDA 1103172080120, whole genome shotgun sequence.